rnacentral:lncRNA from 1 species
AGCACCCUAAUAAAUUUAUUAAAAAGAAAGAAAAAAGAGACAAACUUGGGGGGACUAGACCAAAACCCAAGGAAACAAUAAUACAAGGAACCUACCACUACCUCAUUAAAAACUUUUCCUGGAAAACUCCAAGGGAUAAAACCAAGGAUAGGGAAAAAGAGUGCAGUGGAUUUAAUGAAAUCUAAAAGACGGAAGACCCAUUAAAUUACUAAUAUAAUCUCCUUGAACACUCGGCGGAACAUUGUCCCACCAGUAAAAAN